rnacentral:lncRNA from 1 species
GAAGGCUCGGUUCGGUUCUGUCGAAACCAUCAAUAAGAUUCACAAAAGCCACAACACGAAACUAUCAAUAAGAUUUGCAGAAUAUCUCUUUACUAACUAAGUUAAAGCCUCACCUUAGUCAUCGAGAUCGUGGCUGAUCGUCCCAUCGCCGGCGAUAAGCCCGUCGGAGAGGUUAGCAAUCCGGUGAAGGAGCUUUUGGAUAAGAACAAGGACGGCGGUGAGGAGGAGAAGACGGUGACGUACACGGUGAGGCGAUCGAACCCAAUCCCUAUCCCUCGAGACGAUAAAAGACGACGACGACGAAAUCAUCCCAGGAGAAGAGAUCAAUCACGACAUUUUGGAAUCGAAAUCUACUGGUUUCAGGAAGUGGGGAGAG